UCCCGCCCUCAUCACGUGACGGAGGGUCACGUGACAGGCGCGCGGAUGGCGGCGGCGCUGGCGCCGCGCUGAGGGCGCCCGGCAUGGAGGUGUUCAUCCCGUCCUUCCGAUACGAGGAGAGCGAGCUGGAGCGGGGAUACACGGUCUUUAAAAUAGAAGUGCUGAUGAAUGGAAGGAAACAUUUUGUGGAGAAGAGGUAUAGCGAAUUCCAUGCACUUCAUAAAAAGCUCAAGAAGUUCAUAAGAACACCGGAGAUCCCUUCAAAGCACGUGAGAAACUGGGUCCCCAAGGUCCUGGAGCAGCGACGACAAGGCUUGGAGUUGUACUUGCAGACAGUCAUUUUAGAAAAUGAAGAGCUCCCUAAGAUAUUUCUUGAUUUUCUGAAUGUUCGUCAUGUACCUACCUUGCCAAAAGCAGAAAGCUGUGGCUCUUUUGAUGAAACAGAAUCUGAAGAAUCAAGCAAACUGUCCCACCAGCCUGUGCUGCUGUUCCUAAGGGAUCCAUAUGUCUUGCCUAAAGCCAACGUUUGCAGCACAGAGAAAAUAUAGAUGAGCUUUCUAAAAUUUUCCCUCUCAGAUCAGUUCUUACUUUGAUAGAGCCUGAUUCCUUUGUAAAAACAGCCAAGGCUGUUCAACCUGUGACCAAAAAUGACUUUCCAAACGUAGUUAUAGAUGGCAUUCUACAUGGAAUAUUUUAUCCUCAUCUACUGCCCAGGUAGAAGUAAUACAAGGCAAGAAGAAGCUGAAGCAAGUCUCUGAGUCGUGGUUAAUAGAAUUAACAGGAAUAAAAUUCUUUGAUGUGAAAAUGAUACUCAGAAGCAAGAGGCACAACUGCAGUUUAAGUUCAAGCAUUGUGUCUUUUAAAAUAAAAUCACUGUCAUUACAGUUGCUGCUUUAAAAAAAAAGAUAUGGAAACCACAGUAUUGAAGUUAUUUAUACCUUCUAUAUAUUGACAUGCUCUAUUUAACACUAAAUGCUCUAAGUCAUACACUGAACUAUGCUAACCUUUGAAGAGAAACAUUUUACUAAUUAUUUCUAUAAUUUCUAUUAAAGCAAACACUAAACCAUUUUGCACCAGGAUUUUUCCCAGCACCUUACCCAUUGCUGACACUGGAUGGAUUAAAAGUGCUGAAGAGUGUGUGCGCAGAAUUGGAAACAUGCUUUCACAUUCUGAAACACAUAGCACUCUCUAAGGUAAUCUUCUAGAUUCCAGUUGAACCUAUUUUACUUACCAGGAGCUUUUACAUAGCUUUUACACAUCUCCAUUUCGAUGACAUCUAACCUGUGUGUUUGUUUACUCUCUACAUCAACUUGCUGACUGUAUUCUAUAUAUUAACAUUUUAUAAAUCACAGAACAUACAACUCUGUGGUAAACUAAAGCAAGACUAUUGUUAAGAUUAUGAUCAAACUAAAACUGAUACAUAUAUAUGUAUGUUCAGAUUUAACUGGAAGUUUGUAUGUGUGCUACUGGACAUUACAAAAUAAAUCACUAGGACAUGAA